AAACAAACAACAAAAAAAAAACACCACCCACAAAACAUUCAGCUGAAUAAUGGAAGUUCAGCACUGAGGAUAGCCAAGGUGAUUUAUCGCAGCGAAUCAUCGCGCGCCGCUCCAAGCGCAGCUCCCCGCGAGGUCACUCGAAACAGCUCCCAGAAGGAGCGGCAAGAUAUAGGAUGCGGCGGCGCCCCCCGCCCGCACCCCUUCUCGCUUCCUUUUGCGGCGGCGGGCGCGGGGCGCGGGUGGCGGGUGGGGGAGGCGACAGGAAUCAGUCCGGGGAGCUCGACAUUGAGGCAAAACAGGAGGAAAGAGUCCCUUGACUGACUGUGGACAGGCGCCUGGCGAUCUACCCUGAGAAGCUCUGCAGAGGAGGAAAAAGGCAGCAAAUAAUUUGGAAAGCUAUUAUUUUCAUUUUUUAAAAAGCAAGAUAUCAAUGUGAUAAAUAAAGGAUAAAGCACAGGGCAGCAGAUAUGUUUUCUAGGCAGACCGCUGGCCCAGAUCUGCUGAGCUGUGUUGGUUCAUGGGCCUUCAAACCAUGCCCAUGUCCCCACGACGGCCACACUUGACUAGCUUCUUCACAAAUUACACAUGCUUCUAAUCAGAGAAGAGCAUCUUCUUCUGCAUCAUCCCUAUCAUCCACUGCAUACAUCAAGAAUGUGGCUACCUUCAAGUCGCCUGGUGGCCACCCAGGGAUGGGCCGUCUCUGUUGUCACUCUGAGACAUUGGAAUGCGCUUCCCGUGGGAAUAAGAGUCUCCCUGUCUCUAGCGGCUAUUAAAAAGUGUUUGAAGACUCAUCUUUUUACCCAGGCUUUCAAACUUCUUAACUUUUAGACUGUUUAUUGAUUUGUUUUAAAUUGUUUUUAGAAUUUUAAUUGAUUUAAAUGUUUUGUUUAUUGCUUUGUUGUGAACCGCCCUGAGACCUUGGGUUGGGGUGGUAUAUAAAUACGUUAAAUAGAUAGAUAAAUAGAUAAAUUUAAACAGUAUAAAUAUAAUAGCAUGUAUUUGUUAAGCAUUAAUUUCAGACUGUAUUUUUAGGACUGACACACAAGCUCCAGCCACCACAUUGCACUCUUCAGAACAGUUUUGAAGCUGAACCAGUUUGAAAGAAUUAUAGGAACUUGCUGAGCUGCCACUGAAGAUUCCUAGCCUACUGUCACUGAACGACAAUUCCCAGAAUCCUUUCGAGUUGGUUUCAUUUCAAACCGGUUUUGAUGAGUGAUUUGAAUGAAGGUUAGUUGCAACACUUCUAGGCCUCCAACCCGCUAUGCAAAUGACCAUGAUAAAUAAUUCACCUUAUUUAACUUUCCCCAUGCACACUUAUCUAUUACCAAAAUAGAGUGUGUGUGAUUUGCUGGUGGAGCCAAUCAGAAGCCGUAUUUGCUGACUAGCCCAGGGCCUUUCUGUAGAAUAGAUAGUGCUUGUGCAAUUAAUUUUAGGACCUGUAGUUCAAGGAGAUGUAUAGUUCCUAUGUGACAUGCUGUUGAGCAUUUGCUUAUGCAAAGUGAUGUUUAUAGCUAUUAAUUUAAUUUUAAAGUGAAACUUCUUAAAUGCUUUGCUGGCAUGCCAAUGGGUGGUGCCAGGGCAGUUAUUUGAUUCUGAAGCAGUUGCCUCAGGAGAACUCACAGUUGUGAGGCAGUGAGGGCUUACUAGAGGUGAACACAGACAGACUGUGCAUUGUGCACAAAUUCCACCUUACAGAUUCUUUCCAUUUGCAGAUUCUUGCAUAUGGUGCACUCGCACUAAUAGGAACUGAAUACAGGCCUACAUGGAUCCAGUAGGAUGUUCCUAAUUUCUGAAAAGUAAUAGAACAGAAUGAACGGAACAAGAUAGGAACCCUAUAUUGGUUCUGCAUAUGAUAAGUGGUUGCUCAGUGUGUGGAUCUAACUUAUCAGAGCAUGUCAAUUCCAGUUCCAGUUCCGAAUUAAAAGGCACAAACUGGU